CACACUUAUCUACAAACAGUCUUCAGAGAGGUGAUCAGAUGGAAGAUAUUGAUUCUGGAGUCUGCUAGGAGCUGCUCUGACUGGUGACUACUGAGAUACCAGUGACGGGGAAUGUGCUACAUUGUUAACAACAGUGUCUUUCAAAAACCACGAACUAUAAUCUACUGAAAACACAAGGACAAACCCUACUGUGAAGCAGUGAAGACUGGAGUCCUGCAUUUGCUGAACUUUCUUUUUAUGUGUUGGAUUUCUGAUUUUAUAUUCAUUUCCAUUCGUGUGGACUCUGAAGAGUUAAACUCACCAAGGACACUUGAAGAAGUCAUGUCCAGGGAUCACUGUCAUCACAAAUGGAGAAAAGGCCAAUGUCUUUCCAUGCUGCCUCACCAAAAAAGGACUUAGUUGGUACAGACCCUUCAUUCCAGCUUAAUAUCCAUGACCUAGUCACACUCCAGGCACAGGCUUGAGCUGCGUGUUCUAGCAAGCCUUUAACAUUUCUAGGUCUCGAGUCUAAUCUCUGCAUCUGUGCCAGGUUCCCUGAGACUACUCUAAAGCUUGAUGAUUCACUAGGAUUCACAAGACUCAGAAAAGCUUACUUUUCUGAAUUAGAUGUACUGUUCUGAUAUAUUUCAGCAAAAGGAUAUGAGUUAAAAUCAGAAUAAAAUAAAAGGUACAUGGGGCAGAGUCCAGGAGAAACCA
rnacentral:lncRNA from 1 species